GCAGUAGCCGCGGGAAUACGGAGGGUGCAAGCGUUAUCCGGAUUUAUUGGGUUUAAAGGGUCCGUAGGCGGAUCUGUAAGUCAGUGGUGAAAUCUCACAGCUUAACUGUGAAACUGCCAUUGAUACUGCAGGUCUUGAGUAAAUUUGAAGUGGCUGGAAUAAGUAGUGUAGCGGUGAAAUGCAUAGAUAUUACUUAGAACACCAAUUGCGAAGGCAGGUCACUAAGAUUUAACUGACGCUGAUGGACGAAAGCGUGGGGAGCGAACAGGAUUAGAUACCCCUGUAGUCCCUGUCUCUUAUAC
rnacentral:rRNA from 1 species